GGUGAAAAAGGAAAUGAUAAACUGAUCAAAUAAAGAAUAGGAAAACAACUAAAAAAGAACAGUACUAAUAUGAUUACAACUUGCAGUUGCAAUAAUUAGCAAUAAUGAAUCUUUAGAAUCAAAAGAACCACCAAAAAACUUGAAACCCACUUCAUCAAAUGACUAUUUUUAAGCAAUCUCUUAACAAAAAGGAAAGCCAAAAGCUCAAGAUCGCAACAGCAACAAAGAAAACGUGCACAAAUCACAAAAGGGAAGAAAA
rnacentral:misc_RNA from 1 species